UACGUAGGGUGCGAGCGUUGUCCGGAAUUAUUGGGCGUAAAGAGCUUGUAGGCGGUUUGUCGCGUCUGCUGUGAAAAUCCGGGGCUCAACCCCGGACUUGCAGUGGGUACGGGCAGACUAGAGUGCGGUAGGGGAGACUGGAAUUCCUGGUGUAGCGGUGAAAUGCGCAGAUAUCAGGAGGAACACCGAUGGCGAAGGCAGGUCUCUGGGCCACUACUGACGCUGAGAAGCGAAAGCGUGGGGAGCGAACAGG
rnacentral:rRNA from 1 species